rnacentral:rRNA from 1 species
CGCCUGGGGAGUGCGGUCGCAAGAUUAAAACUCAAAUGAAUUGACGGGGGCCCGCACAAGCGGUGGAGCAUGUGGUUUAAUUCGAUGCAACGCGAAGAACCUUACCUACUCUUGACAUCCAGAGAACCUUUUAGAGAUAGAAGGGUGCCUUCGGGAACUCUGAGACAGGUGCUGCAUGGCUGUCGUCAGCUCGUGUUGUGAAAUGUUGGGUUAAGUCCCGCAACGAGCGCAACCCUUAUCCUUGUUUGCCAGCACUUCGGGUGGGAACUCCAGGGAGACUGCCGGUGAUAAACCGGAGGAAGGUGGGGACGACGUCAAGUCAUCAUGGCCCUUACGAGUAGGGCUACACACGUGCUACAAUGGCAUAUACAGAGGGCUGCCAACUCGCGAGAGUGAGCGAAUCCCAUAAAGUAUGUCGUAGUCCGGAUUGGAGUCUGCAACUCGACUCCAUGAAGUCGGAAUCGCUAGUAAUCGUGGAUCAGAAUGCCACGGUGAAUACGUUCCCGGGCCUUGUACACACCGCCCGUC